rnacentral:rRNA from 1 species
AUCUGGGCGGCGGAAUUCAGGAUGGCCGGCGUGCUUUCGCGGUGCGUCGGUCGUUUGAUAUUUCCGUCGCCAACAAACCGCAGACGUCGCGACCUGUUCGCGGUCGGUCCCUGCUCGGAGGAGCCACGUUCGAGCUCGUUGUGUGCGCGUUUCGGCGCGUCACACGGCGAAGGCGUGGAUCUCUGGCUGGCCGUCGGACAGUAUGCUUAGCGGUGUCCGGUGUCGUCGUUUCGUACGCGCGGCAUCGGUACCGGUCAGCGACGAAUUCUUCGGGCCUCUUUCCGACCCGUCUUGAAACACGGACCAAGGAGUCUAACAUGCGCGCGAGUCGCGGGGUAUCGAGCGUACUUCGGUGCGUUCGUUAUGUUGCGAAACCCGUACAUGUCGAAGGCGUAAUGAAAGUGAAUGGGGAAGAUGGUGUUCCGAGUACACGUUCCGCGAUCGUCGGUAUCGCGGCCGGACACCCGCAUUCCCGGGGCGUCUCAACGGCCCGUCGCUGAUGCGGACAGUCGUCUCUCGGGGUGGCUGUCGGUCGGCGACGAACCGA